rnacentral:rRNA from 1 species
GAUGAACGCUGGCGGCGUGCCUAAUACAUGCAAGUCGAGCGAACGUACGAGAAGCUUGCUUCUCGGAUGUUAGCGGCGGACGGGUGAGUAACACGUGGAUAACCUAUCUAUAAGACUGGGAUAACUUCGGGAAACCGGAGCUAAUACCGGAUGAUAUUUUGACCCGCAUGGAUCAAAAGUGAAAGACGGUCUUGCUGUCACUUAUAGAUGGAUCCGCGCUGCAUUAGCUAGUUGGUAAGGUAACGGCUUACCAAGGCAACGAUGCAUAGCCGACCUGAGAGGGUGAUCGGCCACACUGGAACUGAGACACGGUCCAGACUCCUACGGGAGGCAGCAGUAGGGAAUCUUCCGCAAUGGGCGAAAGCCUGACGGAGCAACGCCGCGUGAGUGAUGAAGGUCUUCGGAUCGUAAAACUCUGUUAUUAGGGAAGAACAUAUGUGUAAGUAACUGUGCACAUCUUGACGGUACCUAAUCAGAAAGCCACGGCUAACUACGUG